rnacentral:rRNA from 1 species
AUGAUGCCAAAGUUGCAUUUCUUACAUGAAGCGGAGCUCUCUAAACAAGUGGAAGCACACCAAAGUAUGGUCUCACAUUCCAAACUAUGGUGUGUGUGCAUGACGUGUUCAUGCAAAACGUCACCUUGGAUUCUCUCCUUCAAGAUAAUCUACUCCUGUGCUUUGAUGCAGCAAUGCAUCCAUUUUGUAACUUUUAACCUCAUGUCGCGUUCGUUUUUGUUUUAUUUCAAUGCAUCUUCAUUUUCUCAUCUUGCUGUUGCUAAUUUCCUAAUUUGUAUUUGUUUUAUUUCAUUGUAUGCACCACGAAUUGCUCAUCUUGCUGUCGAGACAAACCUUCAAGCUACAACGCAAGGAAGAAAAAAGAGAUUGGUGCUGACCUAUGACUACGAUCAACCGAGAGCUUUUGCCGAGGUACUAUAA